rnacentral:rRNA from 1 species
GGCGUACUUCACACAUGCAAGUCGAACGGGGACCGCUGUGUGAGCAAUCAUGUGGCGGUUCUAGUGGCGCACGGGUGAGUAACACGUGGGUAACCUGCCCUCGAGAUCGGGAUACCCCCUCGAAAGGGGGGCUAAUACCGGAUCCGUUCCUCGGGUCGCGAGAUCUGGGGAGGAAAGGCGGCGCAAGCGGCCGCUCGAGGAGGGGCUCGGGGCCUAUCAGCUAGUUGGCGAGGUAACGGCUCACCAAGGCGAUGACGGGUAGCUGGUCUGAGAGGACGACCAGCCACACGGGGACUGAGACACGGCCCCGACUCCUACGGGAGGCAGCAGUGGGGAAUUUUCCGCAAUGGGCGAAAGCCUGACGGAGUGACGCCGCGUGGGGGACGAAGGCCUUCGGGUCGUAAACCCCUGUCAGAGGGAAAGAAGGGUGUCGGCGUGAUAAGCGCCGGCAUCUGACGGUACCUUCAGGGGAAGCCCCGGCCAACUC